CACGACAAAAUGAUAAGAUCUAAGAAAAACUUAGCAAAGAACAAAAGUAAAAUAAUAAUGAGAAUUCAAGAAGAGUUGAAGAUAAAUUACCAGUUUUUGACACUUGACUUCCAAAAAGUACAAACCCUAAUCUAGAAAAAUAGUCAAAACUCAAAAGUGGGGGCACAACAAUUCUUUUGGGUAUCUUUAUGGUUGAGCUUCCUCAACCUUGUUAUAUGCACUGCUCAG
rnacentral:lncRNA from 1 species